rnacentral:rRNA from 1 species
CGUCGGAGGUGUCGGGUUAAGUCCCCAUAACGAGCGCAACCCCUAUCAUUAGUUGCCAUCAGGUCAAGCUGGGGACUCUAAUGAAACUGCCUACGCAAGUAGUGAGGAAGGUGGGGAUGACGUCAAAUCAGCACGGCCCUUACGUCCAGGGCUACACACGUGCUACAAUGGCCGAUACAGAGGGCAGCUACCUGGUGACAGGAUGCAAAUCUCCAAAGUCGGUCUCAGUUCGGAUCGGAGUCUGCAACCCGACUCCGUGAAGUUGGAUUCGCUAGUAAUCGCGCAUCAGCCAUGGCGCGGUGAAUACGUUCCCGGGCCUU